AGGCUGCCUACCAUUAGGAGAUCUGGGGCUCCUCUGAGUCUGUGCAGGCUCUAUAACCAAUGCUCAGUGGCUCCGCAGCAACGCUCCACCCACACGGGGCGGUUCACAACGAUCGACCCACCAAUCAUUGUCCAGGACUGCUCCAGCCAAGGAAGGUGAGCACUGCAUAGUUUUUCUUCAGUGUUCUGGCAGCAGGAACUGGCAUGGGUUAGGCGCUGGAGAAGUGAAACCCCACAGCCCUGGGCUUCCUGGACAGCCCGGGGCACUACGACUUUGCCCCGAAUACUUACAAUAGAAAUCAAAUGAACUCAAUACUGCGUUCUUUAGAUCUGGGCUCACAUGAGACGUGGCAUCCUCAAGUGGCAGCUGGAAAGAGCUCAGGUUCUUGCUGACUGUCCCUAGGAUUCCUUUCCUACUUGUCUGGGCCUCUCUUGAGGCUGCUCUAGCUGCAGUAGCUGGCUCCCCAAGAGUCUGUCAUGGGGGAGAGAGAGCAAAGAGGAGGGGAGAACCCCCUGGGCAAGACUCUCAGGGAGUGGGAGUGGCGGCCAGGUUUUGAUUCUUACCAUGGCCAUCAUUCAGUUUCCGUUAUUUAAAAUCUGUACAUGCCUAGCAACAGUAUUCUCACUCCUACAUGGGGAUCUUGUAGAGGAAGCAGUCAAUCCGUGGAGCCCUGGACUCCCUGGCAUGAAGAUGCACCCACAAGUGAACACACCAAUGCCUGGGAAGGGAAGGAGAUGCAGCCUGGAGAGCAGCAGUUCUGAGGAAGCAGAAAUCACAAGCAGAGAAGACAGCACAGAACAGCAAAGAAGAUGGAGAAGGAGCAGCAGGGUCUGAUGAAGAAGGAGCAAAGCAAAAUCAGUGAGAAGCUUUCCCAACACAGCCUCUCAGAGAGCCUGGGGGAGAAGUGUGGGCUGGAAACCUGCAGGGCAAGCACUUGUAUGGAGUGAAGAGCAUUUUCAGUAUGAAAACACACUGCUUAUCAUAACGUGUUUAUGGGCCAUCCAGGAAGCCAGGGUUACCCCACACCACCUGAAAAUAUUGGUAAUCCAAACUUAAAGCACAAAGAUAAUGAAAAAUCUGUGUUGUUCAACACAUUCCAAAUAUAAAACAAUUGUUUCCUGUACAAAAGUUAUGCUAAGUAGAUUACAACAGACCCAUAUCUCUCAACCCAGUAUUUCCAGCUAAAUAAUGUUAUGGCAUGAAAGUACUCUCUGCUAUCUAUCCAGGGUGCAAAAUUACAACAGAAUUCUAGUAGUGUUUCUUGUCCAUUGUGGCAUACUAAUCUGCAUUUGGGGAAAAAAGUUUCAGUUCUCCGUAAUCAAUUGACAUGAAUUAGACAAAGUGUUGUAGGGCUUUAUACUGUCCUCAGUUCUGUUUCUAGCUGGUGUUGAUAUACAUAUUCUAUAGUUUGAACUGACAUUACUUGGUGCAACAGUAAGGAAUUUGAUGAUGUGGGUUUUCAAAAAUAACAUUAAAUGCAACAAUUAUGAUUAUGUUUUAUAAAAAAGAGAACUUUUAGAAUUCCACUAUAAAAGCAGCACACCAAUUUGGAUAAUUUUUCCCCUGAAACAAGGUUUCUCUGUAUAACAGAGGGUCAUCAUGUACGUUGUGAAUUCUGCUCUGUCCUCUGUAAACCUAUAAUCAUGUUCUCAAGCUCUCAGCAGAUACUAUGCUGUUGGGAACCAUGAAUUUUCUAAUUAUAUUUUACAUGCUAUAAUAUGA